rnacentral:lncRNA from 1 species
CCACUGUGAUCGAAUAACUCCAUCCCUGGUUGCAUAUGGUUGACAGUUACGCUCUAACAAUCAGUUACUUGUGACUCCGUAAUCUCAAAUAGAAGAGCUUCUGUCAAUGUUUCCCACAUGCUCCACAUCUCAUGACAAUCGCAACCGCUUCAGCUCAUGUUUAAGUUCCAGAGAUACCCACUGCCGGUACGCUCCUUCAAACUUAUCAUACAGAGAUGUUAUUUCCUGUUCUCUCGGAUGAGCUUGGGGCGAACAAGCAUAUCGUAGGAGAAAGGACAACAUGCCCCUAAUCGGAUUGAAGGCCAGACUGCACAUUACAUUCAGGCACGGAAUCCACUGUGAUCGAAUAACUCCAUCCCUGGUUGCAUAUGGUUGACAGUUACGCUCUAACAAUCAGUUACUUGUGACUCCGUAAUCUCAAAUAGAAGAGCUUCUGUCAAUGUUUCCCACAUGCUCCACAUCUCAUGACAAUCGCAACCGCUUCACCUCAUGUUUAAGUUCCAAACGGUCAAUCUCCUGCCAUUGCUAUCUCGUGCGCGAAGGGUCGCCCAUGCUCCUAAUUAAGUCCAUCAGGGUCUUCCUUCCAUCUUUAAAUUAAGGUUCGACUCAAUCGGCUGUCCUCUCCGAUUGGCGAACGUCGAAAGAGAAGGCAGAGGAAGGAACUGAUUGCAUUAGUCUUAGGUUAGGGACAUAGCCAUGUACUACGAUAUUAGGCCGAUCAGAGAAUGCCAAUUAUUAAUUAAUAAUAAAAGGCGUCUCCUCCUAUCAUUUCUCUUUAUGUUUUUACUUACUUAGAGAUAGAUUUACGUUAUUCUAUUCAGACCUUAUUUGUAGUAUUCUUAGAUAGCCCGUGACUUAUGACACUAAAUUCUGGGUAGUAUUGUAUUUUAGAUUAUGUAGCAAAUUUUCUGUUAAUGAUUAAGUUUUCGUCUUCCGCAUUUCUGGUUAUUUAGUUUAUUCUGCUGCUUAAAUCACUUAUUACUUAAAAUUAUUGAAUAUGCUUAAUAAAAGUAAAUACUAGCUUGCUUAGCUUUCAUGAGUAGGCGCCAUCACGACUCCCGAGGAUGAAAAAUUCGGGUCGUGACACUGUGACAGAUGUAUUAAAUAUGUAUCUCGCACACAGGUGUACAUGGAUAUACAGUGAUAUACAUUUGAUACAAAUAUGAUAUAUAUCUCGCCAUCACCAUAUGUAAUAUUUUUGCACUAUAAUUUAUUGGGGUAUAUAGCAAAGUCUCACUCUGUUCUCCAAAUUAUAAGGUAUUACCUAGCAGUAAAUUAAUUUUAUCUAACGAUAUGAAAAUUUUAUAUACUAUCACUGUACAAAAUUACUCUCAUAACAAUUAUUUUGGAACAGAACUUAGGACUCGUUUGGUAAUAGAUUUUGUCAAAAUAUAUUAGGGAUUUUUUGGGAAAAUAAAUGUUUGGCCAUAGAUUUUAUAUUUUGGGAAAUUUCCAAAAUUAAAAACCCAAAUCCCAAAAUCAGCUUAAGGCCCAAAGUAUCACUAUUACAUUUUUAAAAUCUUUUGCAUUUUAUUAAAUAGCCCACUAUUUAUUAUUUUGUAACAAAGUUGCUUCGUUUUCUCAGUCAUCUGAUAAUAUAUUAUGUUGUUCACUAUAAAAAUGAUAAUUUUUUACAAAAUUUAUUUAUUUCAGGACUAUAGUUUGCAAGCGAAUAUUAUUGAUAAAGGUAUUAUUGGGUAUUUGUGAUAGUUUUUAGAACUUUUGGGUUUAAGUCAUGUUCUGAUGUUAUCUUUCUUUUAAAAAGCGUGAAAUAUAUUUUGAAAACUUCAAACAAUACUUCACCCAAAUCAAUAUCUUCGUAAUAAAUUUGAGAAUAUAUGAACAAACGCUUAAACUCUCAUAAAAAUUGCUUUGGUACAAUAUUAAUAGUGAUGUUUGGACUCCCAGUAUUAACUUUUCCAAAAUAGGCGGAGCACCAAAAUAUUAUUAAAAAUCAAAUGACGUAUAGGCAUUCAUUUUCGGGUUAUGGAAAUGCUGGAAAGCAGUAUAUCUCUUAGCUCAUAGAAAAGGAAGAAUGAUAAAAAUAUGAUAUCUUUCUGUGUCACUAUUGAUGUUUUUAUUCCAUAAUAAAAUUUAAAGAAAUAGUCUUGCUGCAGAUUUUAAAGUAGGUUUGCUGAAAAUUCAACAAGUUAUGGUGAUUGUCAGGUUUUAUGGCAAAAUUCUGACAGUCACCAGGAUUUUUAGCGUUGUAACUAAAUUUUUGAUAUUUCAAAUUCAAUGAUUGCCAAAAUUGCUUCCCAACAUUUUGAUCAACCUGUUUCAAAAUUUUGAUCAAAAGCUAUUUCUCAAAAAAAAAAAAAAUUGCUUACCAAGGUCAUAGUUUAAAUAAUGGUCAUAAAAAAGUCCACUCAAAGUAAUUAAUGGUAGAAGAAUACCUUAGGAGAAAGACCAAGUUCUUGAAUAAAUAAUUGAUUCAAUUCAUAAAUACUUACCGCAUAAAGAAAUUUAUAUUAACAAUGUCUUCUUAUAGAUUAUAACAAGUUAUCUAUUUUAAUCCUAACUUAUUAUAGAAUUUUACUUCCUACUAUUUGUUAAGUGACAUAAUAAUAUAACUGAUAGAAAUUAAGAAUUCAUCAAACUAUAUAGAGAACAUGGUUCUCUAUUAAUUUUCACAGAAUGCACACACAUUGCAGUAAUUAAGUGAACACAAAGAAAUUUUACUUGAAAAAAUUCCAGCCCAAUAGAAUUAAAAAUCACGGCCUAUCCUUAUAGGAUUUCAACUUCACUACUGAUAAACUUUAGAUUACAUCCUAUGUAACCUAGGAAUUAACCUCUUAUCCCUCACUAAGUUGUACACUCUAUUACAAG